UUGAGGAGGGUGACGGGCGGUGUGUGCGCAUUCUAGAGCUUGUUUCAUUUUUUAUUUCUUUAAUUAAUUACUGUUGAAUCCUUUUUCUUUUAUUUUUUCAUAAUAAUAUCCUCAAUUAUAAAGUAAAGUAGCUCAUUUAUCCCCAGUUUAUAGGCUGCACCUUGAUCUGGCGUUUAGAAAUUUUCUUUUUGCUUACGUUCUUUUAAGGUUAGCUGGCGACGAUGGUAUACAGGCUGUUUUCUAAAACUGGUAAGGUCCCUCGUGGGGUAUCGAUUUGACAACAAGCUCCUCCAAAAAGGUUUAGAAAACCGCCAAGUCCUUUAAGUUUCAAUCUUUAUAAUUUUACUCCUCUGGUGUUGUAGGGUUUUUAGGAAGAGUAUAGUGGGGUAUCUAAUCCCAGA
rnacentral:rRNA from 1 species